UAAUAAGCGGAGGAAAAGAAACUAACUAGGAUUCCCCCAGUAGCGGCGAGCGAAGAGGGAAAAGCCCAGCACUGAAUCCCGCGGUCGUAACCGGCCGCUGGGAAAUGUAGUGUUUGGAAGGAUCCGUUAUCCCGAUGUUAGGCUGUGCGUCCAAGUCCAUCUUGAACGGGGCCACAACCCAUAGAGGGUGCCAGGCCCGUAGUGACCGCGGCCUAUGUCGGGAGGAUGUCUUCUGAGAGUCGGGUUGCUUGAGAGUGCAGCCCUAAGUGGGUGGUAAACUCCAUCUAAGGCUAAAUAUAACCACGAGACCGAUAGCGAACAAGUACCGUGAGGGAAAGUUGAAAAGAACUUUGAAGAGAGAGUUCAAUAGUACGUGAAACCGUUCAGGGGUAAACCUGAGAAACCCGAAAGGUCGAAGGGGGAGAUUCAUCGCGUUUCGAUCAAACUGGCACCGGGUUGUUGUGCGACGUAGCGUCCUUCGGGUCGUUGCGCGUCUUCGACUCGUGUGAGCCGGUGUCGAACGUGUGCACUUCUCCUCUGGUAGGACGUCGCGAUCCGUUGGGUGUCGGCCUACGGCCCAUGGUGGAGCCCGUAUGUGAAAGCUUGCUUUUGUCUGCGGACCCAUGGUGUCCUGGUCGACUCGCUCGACGGUGAACAGAUGGCGCAGGGCCGCGACUCAGUUCGCGUCCGGCUCGUGGCAAGCAUCGUCGUGUGUUUGUCGGCAAUCGGACCUAGUGCCGAUGCCGGCCACCGACAGCUGUUGGCUACGAUGUCUCGGACAGACCUUGUCGAAACGCCAAUCUGCGACGCUAUUGCUUUGGGUACUUUCAGGACCCGUCUUGAAACACGGACCAAGGAGUCUAGCAUGUGCGCGAGUCAUUGGGACAUAAUUAAACCUAAAGGCGCAAUGAAAGUAAAGGUUCGUCUUGUGCGAACCUAGGGAAGAUGGGCGGUUGUUCCUAACCGGCGGCCGUCCCGCAUUCCCGGGGCGUCUCGUUCUCAUUGCGAGAAGAGGCGCACCAAGAGCGUACACGCUGGGACCCGAAAGAUGGUGAACUAUGCCUGGUCAGGACGAAGUCAGGGGAAACCCUGAUGGAGGUCCGUAGCGAUUCUGACGUGCAAAUCGAUCGUCGGAACUGGGUAUAGGGGCGAAAGACUAAUCGAACCAUCUAGUAGCUGGUUCCCUCCGAAGUUUCCCUCAGGAUAGCUGGCGCUCGUUGCGUACGAGUCUCAUCCGGUAAAGCGAAUGAUUAGAGGCAUUGGGGUCGAAACGACCUCAACCUAUUCUCAAACUUUAAAUGGGUGAGAUCUCCGGCUUGCUCAAACAUGAAGCCGUGAGAAUAACGGAUCAGAGUGCCAAGUGGGCCAUUUUUGGUAAGCAGAACUGGCGCUGUGGGAUGAACCAAACGCCGAGUUAAAGCGCCUAAAUCGACGCUUAUGGGAUACCAUGAAAGGCGUUGGUAACUUAAGACAGCAGGACGGUGGCCAUGGAAGUCGGAAUCCGCCAAGGAGUGUGUAACAACUCACCUGCCGAAGUUACUAGCCCUGAAAAUGGAUGGCGCUGAAGCGUCGUGCUUAUACUCGGCCGUCAGCGGCAUGUGCGACAUGUGCACAUCUCGGUGUGUACGGUCAUGAAGCCCUGACGAGUAGGAGGGUCGCGGCGGUGUGCGCAGAAGGGCUGGUCGUGAGACCGUCUGGAGCCGCCGUCGGUGCAGAUCUUGGUGGUAGUAGCAAAUACUCCAGCGAGGCCCUGGAGGACUGACGUGGAGAAGGGUUUCGUGUGAACAGCCGUUGCACACGAGUCAGUCGAUCCUAAGCCCUAGGCGAAAGCCGAUGUUGAUGUGGUGUAGUUUUAUCAAUUGAGUGUAUUAUUUACCUGUGUGUAUCAUGCUGCCGCUGUUGUGGUAGGUAAUCAAUGGAAAUAUUAUGCGCGUCAUACAGAUUCGUACAAUGAUGACGGUUAUGCAUGUUGGUGUGGUGGCUCUCUCUGUCGUCACCACCACCGCCAAAAGAUUGCGCAUGCACGUUACGACUAGGCUGAUGGCCCUUUGCAGCCCCUCGACUGAAACAUUUUAUAUGAUGAUGGCCCAUCACUUACAUCAGUGCAUUUAAGGUCUCUGCCUGCACAUCGCCGACUGUGUGGUAAACAUGUGUGUAUAGAAGACAUGUCCAGCAGCUCGACGUUGGUUAGUAGUAGGACUAAAGAGAAUAGAAAAAUGUGUGUAUGUCAUGUUGGUGUCACAUCAUCAUGUAUGUGUGUGUAGGUUGUUGGCGGCAGUACAUGUGACCAGUAGUCGUCGGUUGUGAUUUGUUAUGACUGAGCAAUCAAUGACGGGGUGUGAUGAUGAGCCAAAGAGCUGAAUAUGCAGAAUCGUUCGUUGUCAAAUGAAUGAUAUGCAAACGCGCAUCGAUUGGUUUAAACCUAUAAGCGUGUUGUGUGUGCACAGGUGUAUGUACAUAUUGUAAAGUCAGUACACACCCAUUGGGCGAAAGGGAAUCCGGUUCCUAUUCCGGAACCCGGCAGCGGAACCGUCAAUAAAUCGGGCCCUUGCAAAAGAGUUCGUCGGGGUAACCCAAAAGGACCCGGAGACGCCGUCGGGAGAUCCGGGAAGAGUUUUCUUUUCUGCAUAAGCGUUCGAGUUCCAUGGAAUCCUCUAGCAGGGAGAUAUGGUUUGGAACGCGAAGAGCACCGCAUUUGCGGCGGUGUCCGGAUCUUCCCCUCGGACCUUGAAAAUCCGGGAGAGGGCCACGUGGAGGCGUCGCGCCGGUUCGUACCCAUAUCCGCAGCAGGUCUCCAAGGUAAAGAGCCU
rnacentral:rRNA from 1 species